GGGUCGGUGGUCCUUGGGCAGGGGUCUCCGAUCCCGGACGAGCCCCCAAAUGAAAGACCCCCCCACUCAGAGUCUUCCUUCAG
ensembl:miRNA